CAUGUGGUUUAAUUCGAUGAUACGCGAGGAACCUUACCUGGGCUCAAAUGUAUGUUGACGUAUUCUGAAAGGGAUACUUCUUCGGACAAUAUACAAGGUGCUGCAUGGUUGUCGUCAGCUCGUGCCGUGAGGUGUCGGGUUAAGUCCCAUAACGAGCGCAACCCCUAUCAUUAGUUGCCAUCAGGUCAAGCUGGGGACUCUAAUGAAACUGCCUACGCAAGUAGUGAGGAAGUGGGGAUGACGUCAAAUCAGCACGGCCCUUACGUCCAGGGCUACACACGUGCUACAAUGGCCGGUACAAAGGGCAGCUACCUGGUGACAGGAUGCUAAUCUCAAAAGCCGGUCUCAGUUCGGAUCGGAGUCUGCAACCCGACUCCGUGAAGCUGGAAUCGCUAGUAAUCGUGGAUCAGCCAAGCCGCGGUGAAUACGUUCCCGGGCCUU
rnacentral:rRNA from 1 species